GCCAGCAGGUUUAUCCCCCUGCAACUCACAGCGGGCGGCCCACUGGAGCUCAGCAGGUGUGAGCCUGGUCAGUACCCGGAUGGGAGACCUCCUGGGAAAAACUAAGGUUGCUGCUGGAA
rnacentral:rRNA from 1 species